rnacentral:rRNA from 1 species
AAUGAACGUUGGCGGCGUGGAUUAGGCAUGCAAGUCGUGCGAGAAGUCUUUUGCUUGCAUUAGACGGAAAGCGGCGAAAGGGAGAGUAACGCGUGGAUACCUACCUCCAGGUUCGGGAUAGCUGCGGGAAACUGCGGGUAAUACCGAAUGACAUCUCCGGAUCAAAGGUGUGAUUCCGCCUGGAGACGGGUCCGCGUCCUACUAGCUUGUUGGUGGGGUAACGGCUCACCAAGGCGACGAUGGGUAUCAGGCGUGAGAGCGUGACCUGACACACUGGGACUGAGACACUGCCCAGACACCUACGGGUGGCUGCAGUCGAGAAUCUUCGGCAAUGGGCGCAAGCCUGACCGAGCGACGCCGCGUGCGGGAUGAAGGCCCUCGGGUUGUAAACCGCUGUCAGUUGGGAGGAAAUCACAUGGGGUUCUCUCCAUGUGUUGACCUAUCUUCAGAGGAAGGACGGGCUAAGUUCGUGCCAGCCGCCGCCGUAAGAC